rnacentral:misc_RNA from 1 species
GUGAGCUUCAAGGUGAAUUUGUUUGAACUAUUUUACUUCUUCUAUAUGCGGUUUACUUAUUGCACCAAUCAAUGUAAAAGAAAUUAUGGUAACAACUGGUUUUUGUUGAGCUCAGGCCUUUCUUGUGGGAUUUUAAAUUUUGAUUCUAAAAUUACCUAAUAAAAUAACUGACUCUAUUGAAUCACGAAUCGUUCCCUCUAUCUUUACUUCAUAUUUGGAUUUUCCCUCUUUCUUUACAUAUAUAUAUUUUUUUCCGCUUAUAUAGAUUAGACAUGGUGAAGCAGUU